rnacentral:rRNA from 1 species
AUGCAGGAGGAGCUCGACGCGCUGGUGCGCAACCGCACUUGGAAACUUGUCCCGCGGCCAGCCCAUGCCAAUGUCAUCUCUAGCAAGUGGGUAUUCCGGCAUAAGACUCGUCCUGACGGGUCUCUCGAGCGCUAUAAGGCUCGGUGGGUGGUCCGUGGAUUUUGGCAACGCGCUGGAGUCGACUUCACCGACACGUUCGCCCCAGUCGUCAAACCGGGCACGAUUCGCGCGAUCCUUCAGCUCGCGGUCUCUCGCGCCUGUCCGGUGCAUCAGAUGGAUGUGUCGAAUGCAUUCUUGCAUGGCCAUCUCUCGGAGUAG